CCGAGUUAUUGGUUACUAAAUUUAGUGCCAAACUCCCACCCUUUUGUGUAUCAAAGUUGUUCAUCUUUGGUGGAGCGUUUCGGCGUCCGCUGAACCGCUGAUUCGCCUUUUUUAAAAAGGCUGUGAGUGAGUCUCUGCCAAAGUUACUUGUUUCAAACUCUUUAUUUUGAAAUUACUGUCUGAGCAAAACAAAAAAUAAAAAUUA
rnacentral:misc_RNA from 1 species